AUUGAACGCUGGCGGCAGGCCUAACACAUGCAAGUCGAACGAGUGGCGGACGGGUGAGUAAUGUCUGGGAAACUGCCUGAUGGAGGGGGAUAACUACUGGAAACGGUAGCUAAUACCGCAUACCAUCGGAUUAGCCCAGAUGGGAUGGGCUAGUAGGUGGGGUAAUGGCUCACCUAGGCGACGAUCCCGAGCUGGUCUGAGAGGAUGACCAGCAACAUGGGAAUGGGGACACGGUCCAGACGCCGCCGGGAGGAAGAAGUGGGGAAUAUUGCACAAUGGGCGCAAUCCGGAUGCAGCCAGGCCGCGGGUAUGAAGAAGGCCUUCGGGUUGUAAAGUACUUUCAGCGGGGAGGCGUUACCCGCAGAAGAAGCACCGGCUAACUCCGUGCCAGCAGCCGCGGUAAUAC
rnacentral:rRNA from 1 species